rnacentral:rRNA from 1 species
UUAUGAUUUAAAGUACAGCAAUGGAUUUAUAAAACAUAAAAAUUUAGUUAGUCUUACCUUUUGUAUAAUGGUUGUACUAGAAUUCAAUUAUAUAAUUGUUCCCGAAAUGAGAAGAGCUAUCCACUAGCUUUGCUUAGAAUUAUUUCCUUAUGUUGCAAUAUGAGGGAAAGACUGAUGGAUAGGGGUGAAAGGCCUACAAUUCUUAGGGUAUCUGGAAAUCCAGGAAAGGCAUUUAGUGCCGAAAAGUGAGGUAUAAAAUGUUUAGAUUUUGUACAUGCAGUAUUGGAAGUUGCUAUUGUUUUCAAGGGUUAAACUUCUUGUUAAAAUGAAUUAAUAAAUUUAUUAUUCUAAAAUCUAUUUUCUACUGGAUCUUUCAUAGGAAUUUAAAUGUGAAGUGAUAAUGUUCAAAUUAGUAAUAAUUUAUUAUUUAUCUUAAUUUGUUUGUUUAACAUAUUUAGGUAAAAUAAUUUGAAGGAACUCGGCAAAUAUAAACUUGGACUGUUUAGCAAAAACAUAGCCAGAAGACGGUAUUUUUGGUUUAACCUGCCCAAUGUGUUAAUGAAUGGCCGCGGUACUCUGACCGUGCUAAGGUAGCGUAAUCAGUUGGCUUUUAAAUGGAGUCAGGUAUGAAUGGAAGAACCUGGUUUAGCUGUCUCCGAAUUAUUCAGUUGAAUUUACUGUUUAAGUGAAAAAGCUUAAUUAAUAUAAAGGGACGAGAAGACCCUUAGAAUUUUUUUUAAGAAGAUUUAGCUUUGUGAUUUUGUUGGGGCGACAGAGAAAAAUUCAAAACUUUCCGUAUAAUAACAAGCCGAAUUUUAAGUGAGGAUAAAUUACCUGAGGGAUAACAGCAUAAUUCUAAAAUUGAGUUUGUGACCUCGAUGUUGGACUAGGAGACUAGCAGAUUAGCCGUUUGUUGUGUUGGUUCUGUUCGAACUUUAAUUCCUACAUGAUCUGAGUUCAGACCGGCGUAAGCCAGGUCAGAUUCUAUCUUUUUAGAUUGCAGCUCUAGUACGAAAGGACCGAGUUG